rnacentral:tRNA from 1 species
GGGGAUUUAGCUCAGUGGUAGAGCGCUUGCCUAGCAAGCGCAAGGCCACCCUGGGUUCGGUCCCCAGCUCCA